CACGUAGUUAGCCGGUGCUUAUUCUUCAGGUACCGUCAUUAGCCGAAGGUAUUAUCCUCAGCCGUUUCUUCCCUGACAAAAGAGCUUUACAAUCCGAAGGCCUUCUUCACUCACGCGGCAUUGCUGGAUCAGGCUUGCGCCCAUUGUCCAAAAUUCCCCACUGCUGCCUCCCGUAGGAGUCUGGGCCGUGUCUCAGUCCCAGUGUGGCUGGUCGUCCUCUCAGACCAGCUACUGAUCGUCGCCUUGGUGAGCCUUUACCUCACCAACUAGCUAAUCAGACAUCGGCCGCUCCAAAAGCAUGAGGCCCGAAGGUCCCCCACUUUCUUCCGUAGAACGUAUGCGGUAUUAGCGUAACUUUCGCUACGUUAUCCCCCACUUCUGGGUACGUUCCGAUGUAUUACUCACCCGUUCGCCACUCGCCGCCAGGUUGCCCCGCGCUGCCGUUCGACUUGCAUGUGUAAAGCAUGCCGCCAGCGUUCAAUCUGAGCCAGGAUCAAACUCU
rnacentral:rRNA from 1 species